rnacentral:rRNA from 1 species
UACGUAGGGUGCGAGCGUUGCCCGGAUUUAUUGGGCGUAAAGGGCGCGUAGGCGGCUCGGCACGUCCGUUGUGAAAUCGCCCGGCUCAACUGGGCGGGGUCGGCGGAUACGGCCGAGCUGGAGCAAGCUAGGGGGUAAUGGAAUUCCCGGUGUAGUGGUGGAAUGCGUAGAGAUUGGAAAGAACACCGAUGGCGAAGGCACUUUACUGGGCUAUUACUAACACUCAGAGACGAAAGCUAGGGUAGCAAAUGGG